rnacentral:rRNA from 1 species
GAUGAACGCUGGCGGCGUGCCUAAUACAUGCAAGUCGAGCGAACGGACGAGAAGCAUGCGCCUCUGAUGUUAGAGGCGGACGGGUGAGUAACACGGGGAUAACAUAACUAUAAGACUGGGAUAACUACGGGAAACCGGAGCUAAUAACGGAUGAUAUUUUGAACCGCAUGGGGCAAAAGUGAAAGACGGUCUUGCGGUCACUUAAAGAUGGAUCCGCGCUGCAUUAGCUAGUUGGUACGGUAACGGCUUACCAAGGCAACGAUGCAUAGCCGACCUGAGAGCGUGGUCGCCCACCCUGGAUGUGAGGCACGUUCCACACUCCUGCGGUGGGCCGCAGUACGGAAUCUUCCGCAAUGGAGCAAUGCCUGACGGUGCAACGCGGCCUAAGUGAUGAUGCUCUUCGGAUCGUAAAACUCUGUUGUUAGUGAAGUUCAUAUGUGUAAGUAACUGUGCACAUCUUGACGGUACCUAAUCAGUAAGCCCCGGCUAACUACGUG